AAAGCCAUCAGUUAGUAUAUUUUUGAGGUACCCUUAUCAUUUACGCGCUUGUUUGAACUGCCCAUCUAUCGUAUUUCUAUCCGGCUGAAGGUUACGAUUUAACCCCGCUCAAAAUUCUUUCGUCAAUGAAGUUAGUUUAUUGCUACUGUCCAAAAUUCGAUUAUUUUGCUAAAUCUGACGACGAUACAUACACAAGAAUCGAUAGACUGAACAAUGAGCUUCCCAAACUGCAAAAAGAAAUAGAUGAAACGAACCCGGAAUGGAGAAUUGCGAACCCGCGCAAGCCAAAUGCCGAAAGUCACGUGCCCUUGAACACGGCAGGGCUUUGCAGAUUCAUAGAGGUACCUCGUAAAAACUCGAAGUUGCCCCGGUUUGAGGUUAUAUUAUGAUAGAUGGGACCCAAAAAUAACUAAAGAACUUGGAAAAAGCACAGAAUAACUUUGCUCGCUGAUUUCUUAAAACUUCCACGCUCUGAACGACUUCGGCUCACUUUUGCAUUUGGCCUAAAAUGACCAAACUGUUGAUUGAUCUUUCCGCAAGUAAUUUCAACCAAUCAUCUUUGAGUAUUACAACUCAAUUUUCAAAAUAACAUCCUAGUUUUUUUGGCAGAACUUUUUAUACUAUUGACAAUAUCGAUGCUCGAACUUGAAGUUUAAUAAUUUUUGUGUUUUGCAAGUGCGUUUUGUAAAGCUGUUAGGAUAUUAAGUUUUGAAAAAGGACCAUUUGGGUUAAUUAUUGUGCGGUCUAUUUAUAUUUCUAAGAAUGACUAGACAGCAAUUCAAUUCAGCUAAAAGUGUGGGGUAAGAAAAUUUUUAAAAGUGUUUUUUUUUUCAGUUAACAAAAAAAGUUUUCUCUAAUUUGUUUCUAAAAACCAUUUUGCUACAGUCGCAUUUUACGGCAUAAGAAUCAGGGUUUUGUCCUCAUACGAGCAGUCGUCUUAAUUUAGAGAAUCAUGAAUCGGCCAUAAAUCAAUUGAUUUUCUAAUUAGACAAAAGCGUCAUUUUUAACUUUUUGGACGAGUUUUCCCAAAAAAAUGAUAAGGGUCGCGCUGCCCUCAAAUUUCGUAAUUUCGUUGGAUCGACAAACAGUUUUCAAAAUAAAUUGGGUCGAUUGACCAUUCAUGCAUAGGGUGAAACUGAGCCAAAAAGAGGCUGUUCGCUAGGGUCGAAAUGCGUCUGUGAUUCACAUUAUUGAAAAACGCAAUCCAUCUGUCACAAUUGAACCUCGCCUUAGAUUCCGGAGAGCGUUUUACCUGGAAAGAAAGCGCCCUUCAAAUACUGUAUGGGUCAAUUGGAAAUAUUCAGCAGCUCUAUCAUUGAGAGCUUGUGGUACAAAACUGUGCGCAGCAUUGCAUUGGAUUUUAUGGGAACAGUGUCAACUUCAACUUCUCACUUCCUUGCAUAUGGCGACCUGAAGAUAUGUGGUUGGGCUCGUGCAUGCACGCAUACUUCAAAAGUCCACUGGUUAUAAGAGAUAUAACGAGUGGAGUUGCCCAAUGGGAUUAUCGGGAACCUCUUACGGUUUCCAAGCACCCUCAUGAUCACGUAGUCAUCGUUGACCGAAAAACACCAGAUGCACUUAGAGAAGCUGACAGGUUUUAUAAACAAUUACACCAGAAGUAAUCAAUUGGACCAGAAGUCAUCGCAGGUUUUAUAAACAAUUAGACCAGACACGAAAUCGAGCUGAACUUAUUGAAUAAAUUCCUAUUUUGACUCCAAGAUUUGUACAAAUUUGUAAUCCAUUCGUUAGAG